rnacentral:rRNA from 1 species
AUUGAACGCUGGCGGCAGGCCUAACACAUGCAAGUCGAACGGUAACAGGAAGAAGCUUGCUUCUUUGCUGACGAGUGGCGGACGGGUGAGUAAUGUCUGGGAAACUGCCUGAUGGAGGGGGAUAACUACUGGAAACGGUAGCUAAUACCGCAUAACGUCGCAAGACCAAAGAGGGGGACCUUCGGGCCUCUUGCCAUCGGAUGUGCCCAGAUGGGAUUAGCUAGUAGGUGGGGUAACGGCUCACCUAGGCGACGAUCCCUAGCUGGUCUGAGAGGAUGACCAGCCACAAUGGAACUGAGACACGGUCCAGACUCCUACGGGAGGCAGCAGUGGGGAAUAUUGAACAAUGGGCGCAAGCCUGAUGCAGCCAUGCCGCGUGUAUGAAGAAGGCCUUCGGGUUGUAAAGUACUUUCAGCGGGGAGGAAGGGAGUAAAGUUAAUACCUUUGCUCAUUGACGUUACCCGCAGAAGAAGCACCGGCUAACUCCGUG